UGUUGGUGGCAGAUAGCCAGGCUGACAGAGGUGUUCCCCCUCAGGUGAGGGGGCCUCAUGGCCACAGCACUAAUGGGGGGUAGGAAGGGGUUCACGUCCGCUUCCUGAGCUGAGCUGCCUCUGUAGCACCUGUGCCUCCUCUAGGGCGGCAUCCUACUUCCAGUUCAUUCUUGAUCCCACAGAAUGCAGGGACAGGGCACUAAGUGUUCAGCUCUGCUGGCCUCAGCCACUCGCUCUGAGCUCCCAGUGGUAUGAGUCUGUCAGAGACACUGGUACCAAGAGGUCCAACAUGUGACACUUCCAAGCAGUCAGUGUGGAAGUUUCUCACAACAGUCCAAGAAGAAGCAAGAACAACUCUCUUGGGCUGGAAAGGAUUAGAGUUGAUCCAGGCGCACAAUCUUCAGAUCCUGCCUUCAAUCUUGGCCUCAGGAGACAGAGCCUCCCAUCAAAGGACAGAGCCACCAAAACCAACUCCAUUUACAGUAUUCCAGUGGCUUCUGUGAGCCAGAAAUUUCUAGAAGCUCUUGAAGGGCCUUUUGUGGCAGUGCACAAGGCUGAGUUGUCACAGCCCUACUUGCAGAGGUGGUGAACCCUGUGAAGAGCCUCCAUCUCAAAGACACACACUUUGGAGAGCAGUAGACCUUGCAGGGGAUGGGGAAUUCACGCCCCUGUGAAACUGGGAUGACGUAGAAUUAUGGAAGAGUACCUGUCCCUGAGUGUCCUUGAAAGUCAAGCAAUUAAAACAGAUGCAAUCCCUUUGGAUGGAGAUGCAGCACAGCAUCAUUGCUGUGGAAGUCCAUGGUACAGGGGUGGCUGGCAGUCACAGCAGACUCUGCAAAAUGGGACUCCAUCCUGGUUGGCUUCUAAGGAUCAAGGUAGACCAUUCUUACAAUAAUGACAUAGAAUAAGAGACAUGGAUACUUCCUUGGUUGAAAGAAACACACUGGCAGCUAGUACAGUGGAGAACACCUUCUCUUGUUCAUCCUAGAGAAAGUGUCCCCGGGGUCAGGGGACAAGGCUGGGCCAGAGCUGCUCUCAGUUGAAUAUAAGUGAGUGGUAUUUGAAUUACUGUAAGCUGGAACUCAAAAGCUCUCUGUGAUUCAUAAAGCAGCUCUUUUCAUAUGGGUUCCAAAUUUCCUUUUCUGUUCAUUCAACAUCCUCUGACAAGCUCUCUGAACUUCAUUCUGGCUUAAAAAUCUAAGAAAGCCAUGAUAGUGAAUACCCAUGUCAUGACUGUUUACCCUCAGUCCUCAGACUCGCCCUUCCCUGCUGAGGUGCCGCCCUGUGGAGAGGGAUUAACCUCGAAUGAGACGGUGGGACAGAGACCGAUGCACUGUUGUGGUCACGGUUCCAUAGGUGUGCUGUGUUUUUUCUCAGCAUACCCAUUUUAGGCUCGUGUGGUAUCAAACUUUUCUGCCAGUAAGUAGAAAAGGCAAUUUUUGUAAAAACUGAGAAACAAGUUGCAGGCGAGAGCAGAUAUUUCAGAAAUGACUCAGAAUCAUGUUUUGCUAGAAGAAUGCUAAUGAAAUACAGAGCGCAUAUUCAUGAAACUGAUAACACUCCCUCGGAAAGAAAAUGACUCUUAUUAGACAUCUGAACUUGAGCAAAACAUUCAUGUCAUCGAUUAUAAUAUAAUGGAUGGCUCCUACUCUGGCAGCAAAAUUUAGCUUUAAUGUAACUACAGAAGCAAAGAUUAUUCUUGGGGGAAUAAUGACAGAGUGUAUCUUUCUGAUCAUCUGAAGCAGUUCAUUCACCUCUGAAACUGACUGUAAACCUCAGGAAAGAAGCUUCUCAGAAAUACAUGACCCACUAAGCUAAGAGCCAACUCCCUAGUGAAUCACCUUCCACACCCGUGACCUCAAGUCCAGGACCCGUGUAAAGCUAGUUUUUACCAUGUCUUCUAUGACUGCUGGGGGAUGGUACACUAUCAUCCUAGAUCCAAUUACCCACAGAAAAAAACAAAAAACAAAAAACAACUAAACCAGCUACUACUAAGCUUGAGCAUGACUAGCACUGAACUACCUAAUUUCUGACUGUUACAAAUUAAUCAAGUCACAGCACAUUUGCGAUUCAUAUCAGCUACCUAGGGCGUUUCUGUAGACAGCUAACCCAUUUGGGAAGCAGUCAGCUAAUACUAUCUGGAUGUCAGAUGCAUCUCAUGUUUUGGCAGCUCUUUAUAGUCUUUCAAGGGGAUUGUGUUGACAGGCACUUGCCCUUCAACUUGCUGCUCUGUUUGGCAGCGGCUCUGUUUUCAGUCUUGCCUUCAUUGCACUUGAGGAUUUUCCACAGCCAUGUAUGGGGAUGUUCUCAUGUAAGAGGGUCAGACGGGCAAAAAUCUGGGAAGAAGGGAUUCCAAGCGACAGGGACGGGGUUUCACUGUGUUGGCCAGGAUGGUCUCGAUCUCUUGACCGUGUGAUCUGCCUGCUUCGGCCUCCCAAAGUGCUGGUAUUACAGGCGUGAGCCACUGCGCCCAGUCAAAGAUGUUCUCUUUUAAGAUUACUUUUUAAAAAGACUCACACGGUACCUUCCCACAAGAAGACAUGGAGACUAUGUGACGUAGCCUGUGGGUCCCUGGACACCGGGACUAGAGGACCCUUCCCAAGAGCAGACCGCAGGCAAGAUACCAUUCAUUGGCCUCGCUGCCUGUGCCCGCGGAUUCCGCACGUGGCCACACCUCUUCUAUACAAGGCAAGGUGGCGGUGAGUAGGAAAACAUGCAGUCCUGACCUGGGCAGCUGGCAUAUGGGGGUUUCUGCCCCCAAGGCGCUUCUAGCACAAAACCUAGUGCUAGGUCUCAACCUCAGUAGCAAAGAGGGAGUCCCCAGAAGGUGCCAUGAGGGUGGGCCCUGAAAAACAGCUGAGUGGGGUCGCCAGAUUUUGGGGGUGGAGUGACAGGAAGACUGGUAAAUUUGAACUUCUCUGCUUGGAACAUAAGAAAUACUCUCCAUGACACAGGUGUCUGCACAAAAUCAGGCAUCUCUUGUCCCUGGAAAGUUAUAUCCCCAAGAUAGAGCUGGCUGGCUCCCAGAACUAGGGUGAGCAAAGCCCCCACAGCAAGGAGCUCUGUUCUGAUUUUGGCUUCCUGGGUGGCCCUGGAGAUCCUGCAGCCCGGUGGUUAUGGAGUGGCCUGGUGCUCCUCCUCAUCAGAGAUCCAGGCUAGCCUCCAGGGAGAUAAAUGAGAAGCACAAGCAUUUUCCCCAUAUGACCUAACUUAAAGGAUUUGAAAUGCGGUGAAAACAGAAGCCACAACAGAAAUCCCAGAAGCAUAAAAGACGAAGCGUCCAGUCUCUCCUGACCCACUAUGGCCUGCCCAAGUCCUGUGGCUCAUCAGCUGCACACUGUCACCCAGGCCACCGGUGUAUGCCCGUCUCCCUGAGCCUGAGCUGGCCAGAGGGAAGCUGGGCUCAAAAGACCUGAAGGAAAAACUGGAAACAGACAAAGGACUUCAAGGACCCACUGGAAACAGCCCGCACUUCCUGUAGAACUAGAGAAUUUCUCUCCUUCUUUAAUCUUAGUGGACUCCAGAGAAAGUGGAUAGAAAUAGGCAUGAUAUAAAAUAUCACAUCAAAUCCACUCACCUCUUGCAUUCCUCUGUGAAGGUGGUUGCCAAGAAGGGGAAGUUAGAAACCAGGCCUGGAGCCACAUUGCUGGCCAGGAAUCCCAGCUAAGUCCCUUAUUAGCUAUGCAACUUGAGCAAGGAGUUCUCCAGCUCGUGACCUCCAUUUUCUUAUCUGUAAAAUGGGAAUGAAAAUAACAUGACCGUGGGCCACACAGGGACGUUAUAAGAAGAAAUGAGUGAAUACAUAUGUAGCCUUUAGAACAGCAAUAGACAUGCAAUAAGCAAUCAAAACGUUAGCUAUUCUUAAUAGCUCAAAGGACUUGAAGGCACUCUUUUAUAUAUGUAUUUAUUGAUUUUUCCAGAAGAUGAAAAUAGAUCAUUUGUCUCUAAUCACAUGCAGUGCCAAAAGCCACCAGGUUUCUUGGGGUUUGUGUCACUGAAUCCACAUAACCCAAUGUGCUUUCUGACCAUCCUCAUUCCUGCUCAUGGUUCCUGAGGCUCCCGAGCAUCCCCUUAGUUACCAGACAUAAAUUCAAUUAUCCUCACCAAAUGCCAGGAAAAGAGGAUUGCAUUUCACCAACCAGGAAUGUCAGAAAAAGUUCAUUCUCUCACUAGGAUUUUCUUCCCUUUGGCUAUAUUAAGACACUGAGUUUUACUUAGAAAGCACUAAAGGUGAAGAUAUGGUCACAGGAUGCUGUCAGUUCUAUUGACACGACCCAGCAAAAAUAAUAAUAAUAAUAAUAAAAAUGCUUGAAAUGCAAUACACAUAUGUGGACACAGAAAUGCUAAGAUGUGUUUCAGAACAUGCAGUCUCUCCAUGUUCAGAAUUAACACCCUCAGUACAUGCUUCUGUGCUUCUUUACCAGUGCCUACAUCCAUGCCAUCCUGUUGUUAUCCAUGGAUGAACAACUCAGAAUUUGGAGAAAUGGAUUUGGGGAAAUCUCUGAGACACAUUUUGAAACCAGCGAGGAAUUAGGCUGCAAGCGGCAGCAGCAGUAACAGUGACAGCAGCAAGAAACAGCCACCUGCAUCUCAAGAGUGGCACAGGGCUUCCACUGGCUGAGGCGGACACAUGGCGGAUGUGUAAGAAGCGUGCAGAAAGUGGUCAGUCGUGUGUGCACACACGAAUACAUGCUCAGUGUCAGGCCAAGGCCCUGUGGGCCUAAGGAAAACAAUGUCACGUUUCAACAUGAUUUGGGAAACCCUACUCUCCACUGAAAUCUCAUAUUGGCAGCAGAAAACUCUGCCGAUGCCUCAGAAGCCAAAGAUAACUAAAUUGUGUUUCUUUUAGUUCUUGCAUAGGGGCAAGCCCACUUCACAUUUCAUGAUACACCAACUCCUAGAGAGCUCCUUUGGGGCCCUAUUUAAUUUACUUAACUUUUGUUGGCAAUGGAAAGUGGGCCUGCCACAUUUGAUGACUAGAGCAGGUCCAUCCCAGUCACCUGCCUUCCCAAAAGUGCAUUGGAGAGUGGAACAGAAACCACAACCCACUGUCUCGGACAGGCGUCAGCAUUGUAAAAUACACUCUGGCACCCAGCCCUGGCAGAAUAGUGGUCUACAGAGGCAAAACUUCAGAUUUUUACUAUACCCAAGGCAUAAUGAACUUUAUCGAGGGUAAAUAUUGCCCAGCCUUCUUUCAUGUAGGAACCAAGAAAACUAGACCCAACAGUUUUGCCUUUCCUUCCUUCUCUGUACAUGUUCUUCCUAGUUGUACUGGAUUUUGCUAAUAUCAUAAGCACAGCUGUGAUACAGCCAGGUCUUUAUGCAUGGAUUUUACUCUUUGAGCAGCUUGAAGACAAUUCUGUCUCGCUCUCUCUGGGUUCUCACGAGCACAGAGCUGUAACCAUAAUAAGCUCUCAAUAAAGGUUGAAUAGAGGCCACAGAGAUCUUCAGGCCAGAAGUCAGAGGUCAUUCCUUGAGGACGUGUUAGUGACAGUGUCCUGUACAGUGGCUAGGCAGAGAAAGACUGCUGAGAACAGACAGACCUGGCUUUCAUUAGUUAAGAGAUGGACAGAGGAAGGAGCUCCAUCCACUCACAAAGACAGUGGCCUCCAUAUCCCGAGAGGGGAGUCAGGAGCAUGACAUGUUCUACACAACUACAGUCUUCAUCAUAAUCCCAAAGGCAGCCAUAACCAUGGGUAAUUGGGAUAAUAUUUAGAAAAUAUUUGCAUGCCAAAACUGACAUUUUUAGAGGCCAUGGAGAAACAGGUUUCCAAUGUCAAGUUUUGUUGAAAGAGGACACACAUUAUUCUAGAUUCUGAAAGUUCCCUUCAUCUUCAAAGAGCUAGGCCUUGCCAGUGUGACUGUGGAGCUUGCUAUAAGCCUGAAUAAAGAGAAGACAGAGGACAUCAAGUUAGGGAAACCCCACCCAACAGGAAGGAGACACUCUUCUGGCCAAGAGGCAAGUUGGGGAGGGAGGGAUGCAGAGAGAAGAGAAGAUGAGAGAAGUUAAGGCUGAGCUAGUAUCUGAGAAUACCUCACAUGUGCCCCACAGCCUGCCUCUUCCUCUGCUACACUGUGGCCAGAAAGGGGUCUCAGUGUUCUACGUGCCCCCAGAGGGUGUAGCUGCGAGCCAGACUGCUGAGAGGUCACCUUUGCAGAGCCUAGAGACAGAUGACAGACAAAGCUGAGAUUUAGAGAUCUUUGGGGCCAGGAAGAUCUGAGCAGUGGAGGUCCCAAAGCACCAGCAGAGACAGCUAGACCUAGUGGCCCCAGAAUUGGAUGCUCAAAGACAUGAUCAGGCCAGGCCCAGCUCAAUCAGCACCUGCUAUGUCUCAAAGGCAGGAUGAGUUCAGAGGCACCACUCCACACUGUGAGAAUCCAUAAUUGUUUCCCUCUUCCAGCUGCCAACCUGGGACAUAGAGAGUGAAGAGACAUCCUUUGAGAAGGAAAUCUUAAUUUUUAUUUAACUGUGUAUUUACCCAAAAGAAAGUGAGUUAGACCAAAAGAGUCUAAGUUGCUUUCAAUGGGCAAGUUUAAGGUUCUCCCUCCUUCCUCUGCCAUCAACAGGAAAUGAUGAGAUCCAUAUAGAGAAUAUUUAAAAGGAAAUAAAUUAUCAUUUUCUGCC